AUUGAACGCUGGCGGCAUGCCUUACACAUGCAAGUCGAACGGCAGCACGGGUGUUUGCACCUGGUGGCGAGUGGCGAACGGGUGAGUAAUACAUCGGAACAUGUCCUGUAGUGGGGGAUAGCCCGGCGAAAGCCGGAUUAAUACCGCAUACGAUCUACGGAUGAAAGCGGGGGACCCUCGGGCCUCGCGCUUUAGGGUUGGCCGAUGGCUGAUUAGCUAGUUGGUGGGGUAAAGGCCUACCAAGGCGACGAUCAGUAGCUGGUCUGAGAGGACGACCAGCCACACUGGGACUGAGACACGGCCCAGACUCCUACGGGAGGCAGCAGUGGGGAAUUUUGGACGAUGGGCGAAAGCCUGAUCCAGCAAUGCCGCGUGUGUGAAGAAGGCCUUCGGGUUGUAAAGCACUUUUGUCCGGAAAGAAAUCCUUGGCCCUAAUACGGUCGGGGGAUGACGGUACCGGAAGAAUAAGCACCGGCUAACUACGUG
rnacentral:rRNA from 1 species